rnacentral:rRNA from 1 species
UACGUAGGGUCCGAGCGUUGUCCGGAAUUACUGGGCGUAAAGCGCACGUAGGCGGCCUUGUAAGUUAGAGGUGAAAGCCCAGGGCUCAACCCUGGAAUUGCCUUUAAGACUGCAUCGCUUGAACACGGGAGAGGUGAGUGGAAUUCCGAGUGUAGAGGUGAAAUUCGUAGAUAUUCGGAAGAACACCAGUGGCGAAGGCGGCUCACUGG